rnacentral:lncRNA from 1 species
ACAAACCCAAGCAGCAGAUUAGAUGUAAAGUUUAUUGUACAGUGGGAUAAGUUCCCAUACUUUUCACACUCCUCCUUAUCUCUGGAAAGCACCUGCCCCCUGGGCAGGGCUUCCAGGGUAAUUUGAGUGUGAAAGGAAAACAGCAGAAGCUGUGGCAAGAACUAGCAACUGCCCAAGCUAAACCUCUGUCUUGGCUUCCAGGUUGCAGAGCCCAGAAAACUGCAAAUUUCAUAACUGAAGAUGCAAACUGGGGAACUGUUGCCCAAGACUUUGUCACCUUGAGACUUGGCUGCAAUCCAAGGUAAGGCAGAGCCUGCA